GGGGAGUUUGUGCGAGUGGUUUAUCUUUUUUAUCAAUAAGUAUAUGUGCCACUUAGGUUCCUGUGUCACUUUCCUGCUUUUAGUAUCUCCUCUUGCUCUUCACAGAAUCUGGUUUGGGUUGGAAGGGACCUUAAAGCUCAUCCUGUGUCCAACCUGGCCUUAAUCUUUUCUGGUUUAUGCUGAAGAGCCUGUUUUGGUACAUGUGAGGGUAGCAAUACAUUGUAGCCCAGCAAUCUUGGGUUUGGGUUUUGAUUUGAUAAGGUAGACUGCGCACUCUGUGGCUGGGCACCAGCUUUUACUUACCAACCUCCUUCUCAAUAUGUGGCAGUCUGGGGAAUGUUCCACUGUCAUUGCUAAAGUGUGUACUGGCACCCUUCUCCUCCUGCUCUACCAGUUGCAGAGCCAAAGCUUGCUUUUGUGUAUCUAUCUGGUGUGUCAGUUGCCAUUGCCAUAGCAGCUGGAAACCCACCACUCAUGUUAGAGUAUUAGGAAAGAAAGACCAAAAAUAGUGUGAAUUCCCUAUUUUUAAAGCACUACAGCCUAAAUCACCUUUUCUUCUCAUGGCUCUGUGGGGGUCUUCCAGAUUGGUUACCAUUGCCCUUGGGCGCAUCUGCCUCACUGGGCCUGCAUCAAGCACACCUAUUUCUCCAGUGGAAUCACCAGUGGGACUUCAUCCAUCAGGUAUACCCAGGUGGAGGAAAGGUGUUUCUGCAAUGAGCCAGGAGGCUUCCCAAGGGGCUUUGCUGGUGAGUGCUGGCCCCGCGCAUCCCCAUGGCAGAUGAUGUUACUCCUUCCUCGAUCAGCCCCACAUGGUAUGUGCAUUAUGGUGCUGGCUGGGUCCUCGCUUUCCCUCACUGCUCCCCCAGCCCCUGAUGAAGUGGCCGGUCAGUUCUCCCAUGCCUGCUGAGCAAUGCCUCAUCCUCCCAACAGCAGUGUUCCUAUUCUUGCAAUGUAUGUGCCUUAUUUUGUGUUGCUCCUGUAAAAAGAGAGGGACCAAGAUGUGUUGCCAAAUGUUCCCAAUGAGGCUGUACUUGCCAUUCAGCUGAUAGCACAUACCACUGUUAAUAGUGUCCGAACCGUCUUGUAAACCUCUGGUAUUCACGUGUUAUUGUCCUUGGAUUGGUGGAAUGUCUCCUAUGGAACAGUUACUGUUGUCAGUCCUGCAGAUGUGUAAGAUAAAAAUGUGUUCUUUUUCUCCCCCCCUCCCCCUUUUUUUUAUAAAGCUUGUAAUCCUUUUUAAAAAAAAAAAAAAAAAGAAAAAAAGAAAAUGUGUAAAUACAUUUACGUACAGUAGGAUUAGUGUUCGGCUGUAAUGGGCCUUAGUGGCCUUCAUUUGAUAAACCUGCAGUUAUGAUGUUUCUCGAGCCUUAGGUUGAUCGGAAGGGUCUGUAGCACUGUGUACAUACGAACUGUACUUCUGCUUUCAGAACCACUUAGCUCUUUUGUAACAAAGAAAAAAAAAAAACAAACUUUCUUACAAUGUCAAUAAAAACACAAAAGCCUUUGUACUUAA
rnacentral:lncRNA from 1 species